rnacentral:lncRNA from 1 species
UUCUCAAAAGUCUAUGUCCCAGUGUUCACUGUGUAUUUUGACAUAAAGCUUGUCCUGGAGUUGCAUGGAUAUGAAGUGGUGAAGGAAGCUCUAAUUGAUCAUGGAGAGGAGUUUUCUGGAAAAGGUAUUUUCCCAGUAUCCAAAAAAAGCUAGUAAGGAGUUGGUACAUGUGUGUCAGUGUGUGGAUCAUUUUUAGCAAUGGAAAGAGAUGUAAGGAUAUCUGGCUCUUCUUGCUCAUGACGCUGUGGAAUUGUAGGAUGGUGAAGAGG